rnacentral:rRNA from 1 species
UACGUAGGGGGGCAAGCGUUGUCCGGAUUUAUUGGGCGUAAAGAGCGUGUAGGCGGUCAGGUAGGUCCGUUGUGAAAACUCGAGGCUCAACCUCGAGACGCCGAUGGAAACCAUCUGACUAGAGUCCGGAAGAGGAGAGUGGGAAUCCUGGUGUAGCCGGUGAAAUGCGCAGAUAUCAGGAGGAACACCGGUGGCGAAGGCGGGUCUCUGGGCCGAUACUGACGCUGAGGAGCGAAAGCGUGGGGAGCGAACAG